rnacentral:rRNA from 1 species
UAUGGUUGUGUGCCAGCAGCCGCGGUAAUACGUAGGUGGCGAGCGUUAUCCGGAAUCAUUGGGCGUAAAGAGGGAGCAGGCGGCCGCAAGGGUCUGUGGUGAAAGACCGAAGCUAAACUUCGGUAAGCCAUGGAAACCGGGCGGCUAGAGUGCGGAAGAGGAUCGUGGAAUUCCAUGUGUAGCGGUGAAAUGCGUAGAUAUAUGGAGGAACACCAGUGGCGAAGGCGACGGUCUGGGCCGCAACUGACGCUCAUUCCCGAAAGCGUGGGGAGCAAAUAGG